rnacentral:rRNA from 1 species
GACGAACGCUGGCGGCGUGCUUAACACAUGCAAGUCGAACGGUGAAGCCCUUCGGGGUGGAUCAGUGGCGAACGGGUGAGUAACACGUGAGCAACCUGCCCCUGACUCUGGGAUAACUACCGGAAACGGUGGCUAAUACCGGAUAUUACUUGCCUGGGCAUCUGGGUGGGUGGAAAGUUUUUCGGGUGGGGAUGGGCUCGCGGCCUAUCAGCUUGUUGGUGGGGUGAUGGCCUACCAAGGCGACGACGGGUAGCCGGCCUGAGAGGGCGACCGGCCGCACUGGGACUGAGCCACGGCCCAGACUCCUACGGGAGGCAGCAGUGGGGAAUAUUGCGCAAUGGGCGAAAGCCUGACGCAGCGACGCCGCGUGGGGGAUGAAGGCCUUCGGGUUGUAAACCUCUUUCAGCAGGGAAGAAGCGUGAGUGACGGUACCUGCAGAAGAAGCACCGGCUAACUACGUGCCAGCCGCCGCGGUAA